rnacentral:rRNA from 1 species
CCAAUAGCGUAUAUUAAAGUUGUUGCAGUUAAAAAGCUCGUAGUUGAAUUUCGGGAUCAGUUGAUCGGUCGUGCCUUGGUACGUACUGGUCAAAUUGAUUCCUACCUUCUGACGAACCACGAUGUCAUUAAUUUGGUGUCGCGGGAAAUCAGGACUGUUACUUUGAAAAAAUUAGAGUGUUUAAAGCAGGCUCGCGCUUGAAUACAUUAGCAUGGAAUAA